rnacentral:lncRNA from 1 species
UGGGUGUGCUGGCUCACCAUACUUCCUUCAGGCUACACAGAAGGAACAAUUAAACACUCUUUUAUGUGGCCGCUGCUGGAAACAUCAGAAGCUGUGCCAUAAAGUGCUUGGCUGAAUGGCAGAACUUGUACCUACCUACCUGAAGAAAUAAAAGGGAUUUUUGAAAUGGGAGUUCAGAGGCCAGUGGAUUUAUUGGCUGCAGCAAUGAAGGUGGGAGACUAAAAGUAAGAGCAGUAGUCAAGGCCAUUCAGCUGUAAGGAUGCCAAGAAAGACCCAAACCUCAAAACAAAAACAACCAAACAAAAAACAGCUCUUUUUUUCUGAGGUCUGGGGAUUUUUUUGCUGAUAAUGUUUGUUUCUGAGCAUGAAAUCUGUAUUUUGUUUCCACUUUUCAGACAAAGUCAGGUGUCCUGACAUUUACAGUAAGUAAAUGGGAUUGUGUGAAGGAAAUAUUUGAUGACUCCUUAUUUUCUACUAACAGAAACAGCAAGUUCUCCAGUAAUGGCAAAACAUUCAAGUGUUCCCCAUCCUCUCCCUGAGAGAGUCAAUGUCUGCUUCAUCAACCCUGACUGCCUACAGUGUGCAACAAGCUCCAUCACCUUUCUUCACAAAGAAGAUUGCUUGCACAGAAGGUUUCUCAAACUGCUUGGGACACCUUGCACAGAUUCAUGCCUCUGCCUUGAAUUCAGAAGGGACACUUAAAGAAAUCCUGAACAUUUUGUUGGAAAUGUGAUCAGUCACCUGCAACUUAGACCCUACCUGUUUGGUAAAGGGAAUAAGGACAACUAGAACUUCUGGUAUUUCCAAAGAUUUGUCUGAAGGAAAUGCAGUAUUUUCCAUACAGUAACCCAUCCAACCCCAAAACAAUUUUGGGUGGAAUGGAAGUUGACAACAGGUAUCAAAUCUCUUUUUUUCUGAACAAGCUUAUUAAAAUGCUAGCAACAUCUCUGCAGCUAGAACUGGAGUCUAAUAAGAUUUUAAGGUAGAAUAUGGAAUGCAAUCUUGGCUAUCUAAGGACCAAUUAUGCAUACAUAUAUAUAUAUACCUGCACACAUGUGUGUGCAGAUAUAUAUAUAUAUUCAUUUUUGCUGAGCAAGUUAUUUUGAUAUAGUCAAAUAUAGGAUGCUGACUUAUAAGAAUGUAACAGUAAAACCACUUUGACCUUUAUUUUUCUGCAUAGCAACACACACACAAAUCAGCACAAUCAAAAAUAUAAGUAGAGUUUCUUAUUUAAAGGAGGAAUAGAAAGAAGACUUGGUGCACUUCACUUUUUUUUUUUUUUUUGAAAUACCACAGUGUUUGUGCAGCAUAAGAAACUGACAGAUAGAACAUAUAUUGUACAGUCAUAUCUAUUAAUGAACAUAAUAUAACAUUAAUGAUGCCUUUGCAUCAAAUAUAAGAAAAGAAACUGUACCACGUGCCAUUUAGUUAAUAUAGGGAAAAAAAAAAAGUGUACCAAACACAUGAGCUCACUUCAGUGAACAAAUAAAAGCUGAAUGCUUUUCA